GACAGAGGUGCCAAGCGUUAGGCGGAAUCACUGGGCUUAAAGCGCGUGUAGGUGGCGGCCUAAGUACCUUGUGAAAUCCCACGGCUCAACCGUGGAACUGCUUGGUAUACUGGGUCGCUUGAGUCAUCCAGGGGCAACUGGAACAAGCGGUGGAGCGGUGAAAUGCGUAGAUAUUCGGAAGAACACCAGUGGCGAAGGCGACUUACUGGACACAUAUUGACGCUGAGGUGCGAAAGCGUGGGGAGCAAACAGG
rnacentral:rRNA from 1 species